rnacentral:rRNA from 1 species
GUCUACGGCUAUGCCACCCUGAACAAGCCCAGUGUCUGAUCUCGGAAGUUAAGUAGGGUCGAGCCUGGUUAGUACUUGGAUGGGAGACCACCUAGGAAGACCAGGUGCUAUAGGCA